rnacentral:lncRNA from 1 species
CCUAACUCUUAGAGAUGCUGGGAUCAAAGGUCAAUGGUUUUCUUUCCAUGUGCUUGACCGAGCAUGGGCUUCCCUAAGACAAUCCUUAUGGAUAAUUUCCCUUGUGUAUACACAGGAAGAAAAGGAGCAUCUUGAGAGACCUGGAUACCUAGAAAGAGUCCCUAAAAUGGAAGAUAUAGUUAUGUAAAGAAGAGAGAGGGUAGAAAAAAAAAUCCUACUUCUGCCAGUACAGCUAUCCACUGUACUGCUUCCUGUCUUGUGAGUCCAGGGCCCAAGAGGCCAGAUGGCAAAUUGCUUUGAUAACUUCAGCAUGCUUCCAAUUACAUCAUGCUGAUCAUUUGCAUUGGGUUUUAAAAUCUGGAAUGAAGCUCAAUAUCUCAGAGGAAGUUGAAUGGCCUUUCCCUCACAGUUUAGAGGGCUGCAAGGGCAGGGAUCCAAGGUGAGCAUUACAAAGAUCUAUGCUUUCACAGCCUUGAUUGCA